rnacentral:rRNA from 1 species
UACGGGGGGGGCAAGCGUUGUUCGGAAUUACUGGGCGUAAAGCGCGUGUAGGCGGCUUGGCAAGUCGGUUGUGAAAGCCCGGGGCCCAACCCCGGAAUUGCAUCUGAAACUGCCUCGCUAGAGUCCCGGAGAGGAAGGCAGAAUUCCCGGUGUAGGGGUGAAAUCCGUAGAUAUCGGGAGGAAUACCAGCGGCGAAGGCGGCCUUCUGGACGGUGACUGACGCUGAGACGCGAAAGCGUGGGGAGCAAACAGG